rnacentral:tRNA from 1 species
GGUGGGUUGGCUCAGUGGCUAGAGCGUAGGUCUCGUACUUGAAAGGUUGCGGGAUCGAAUCCCGCUAGAGGCUG